GAUGAGCAUGCGUCCCAUUAGCUUGUUGGUAAGGUAACGGCUUACCAAGGCAACGAUGGGUAGGGGUCCUGAGAGGGAGAUCCCCCACACUGGUACUGAGACACGGACCAGACUCCUACGGGAGGCAGCAGUGAGGAAUAUUGGUCAAUGGGCGCAAGCCUGAACCAGCCAUGCCGCGUGCAGGAUGAAGCAUCUAUGGUGUGUAAACUGCUUUUGUACGAGAAGAAACACUCCUACGUGUAGGAGCUUGACGGUAUCGUAAGAAUAAGGACCGGCUAACUCCGUGCCAGCAGCCGCGGUAAUACGGAGGGUCCAAGCGUUAUCCGGAAUCAUUGGGUUUAAAGGGUCCGUAGGCGGUUUUGUAAGUCAGUGGUGAAAGCCCAUCGCUCAACGGUGGAACGGCCAUUGAAACUGCAAGACUUGAAUUAUUAG
rnacentral:rRNA from 1 species